rnacentral:misc_RNA from 1 species
GUGAAUCAUCAAAUUUUUGAACGCAAAUUGCGCUUCCUAGCAUCCCGGGAAGUAUGCCUGUUUGAGGGUCAGUAUUAAUAAAAGAAUUGGUUUGGUUGCAAAUUGUGACGUUUCUGGCGUUUGGGUUACCUUAACUUUUUUGGUUAAGGGGCUUAAGAUUUAUUUUUUUUGCGCAGUUUUAGACGAAUAUAAUUUUUUUUUUUUUUCGUUUAUUUUUAAUGCCACAAUCU